rnacentral:rRNA from 1 species
AACGAACGCUGGCGGCAUGCCUAACACAUGCAAGUCGAACGAGACCUUCGGGUCUAGUGGCGCACGGGUGCGUAACGCGUGGGAACCUGCCCUUAGAUUCGGAAUAACUCCCCGAAAGGGGUGCUAAUACCGGAUAAUGUCUUCGGACCAAAGAUUUAUCGCCUUUGGAUGGGCCCGCGUUGGAUUAGCUAGUUGGUAGGGUAAAAGCCUACCAAGGCGACGAUCCAUAGCUGGUCUGAGAGGAUGAUCAGCCACACUGGGACUGAGACACGGCCCAGACUCCUACGGGAGGAAGCAGUGGGGAAUAUUGGACAAUGGGCGAAAGCCUGAUCCAGCAAUGCCGCGUGAGUGAUGAAGGCCUUAGGGUUGUAAAGCUCUUUUACCCGGGAUGAUAAUGACAGUACCGGGAGAAUAAGCGCCGGCUAACUCCGUG